GUACACUCCUGCGGGAGGCAGCAGUGGGGAAUAUUGGACAAUGGGCGCAAGCCUGAUCCAGCCAUGCCGCGUGAGUGAUGAAGGCCCUAGGGUUGUAAAGCUCUUUCACCGGUGAAGAUAAUGACGGUAACCGGAGAAGAAGCCCCGGCUAACUUCGUGCCAGCAGCCGCGGUAAUACGAAGGGGGCUAGCGUUGUUCGGAUUUACUGGGCGUAAAGCGCACGUAGGCGGACUAUUAAGUCAGGGGUGAAAUCCCGGGGCUCAACCCCGGAACUGCCUUUGAUACUGGUAGUCUUGAGUUCGAGAGAGGUGAGUGGAAUUCCGAGUGUAGAGGUGAAAUUCGUAGAUAUUCGGAGGAACACCAGUGGCGAAGGCGGCUCACUGGCUCGAUACUGACGCUGAGGUGCGAAAGCGUGGGGAGCAAACAGGAUUAGAUACCCCUGUAGUCCCA
rnacentral:rRNA from 1 species